UGUAAGCACAACCUCUGUCACUCCUGCAUCAGUAUUUCCUGAAAGGAGAUAUGUAAUAUCUUUCCAUUCCCUGUCUGCCAUUUUUCCGUCCAGACAAGAACUUCAGGAGCAAAUCCCAGUUCAGGAAUUUGACUUUAAUCACUAAGGAAAGGGUCCAGAUCACAAAGCUAGAGUGAUGAAUAAAACAAAGGAUGACCACUUCAAAGAGGAGCUACUGGAGUGAAGACACCUGCAUGCAAAAGUCUAGCUCCAGGGUACCACUGAAAAUCAACCUAACACUAGUAGCUGUGCAGACCAACAACCAAG